ACCCCAAGGGACCAAUCUCACCGAACGCAACGGGGAAGGAACUUUAAACGUGGCCGUUGCUUUGCUGUUCUAGACAACCCUUACCUGACAAAUCCUUUGUUGUUUUUGACCUUCCCAGGGACCGAGACUCGGAGUCAUCAUCUUUCCUUCAAAACCCUAAUUUACAUCCUAAUACUCAAUCUUUAAACUUUGAUCUCCUCAUCAGAUCGGCUUCGCUGCUAGUCAGGGAUAAUGUCUAUUGCGCAAAAUUUUCAGGGGGAAGGACAUACAUUUCAUGGUGGUUAUUGGUCCACAUUUGAUGGAAAUAACUAUAACAGCACUAAUAGGAAAAGAAGCAGGCACAAUUAUUUUCAUAAGAAUUAUAACAAGAACUACUGGGCAAAAUUUGGGGAGCACAAUGGCAACUCCAAGUUUUACAACACGGAUCAUGCAAACUAUAUGAAGUAUGAUGCUGUCCCAUCAUCUUUGAAAAGAAGAAAAUACUCAGUUCCUACUUGGGAUGAAAGCUGGAGAUACUGUCUUCCACCCCCGAUCCAUGAUGAUGUCCCUUCAUCAUAUAAUUUUCCUCUUCCUCUUAUGAGACAAAAUGCUGAUACCUCUACAUCAGCUUGCUGCAAGCGUGAUAUCUCUAGGUUUGAAGACGACGCACCCAUCUUUUUGUCAAGGGACGAGAUCGAUAGAUGUUCUCCGUCUAGAAAAGAUGGUAUUGAUGUACUUCAUGAGACACACUUGCGUUACUCUUACUGUGCUUUCCUUCAGAAUCUUGGAAUGCGGCUUGAAUUGCCGCAAACUACUAUAGGAACAGCUAUGGUCCUGUGCCACAGAUUUUUUGUUCGAAGGUCACAUGCUUGCCAUGACAGAUUUUUGAUUGCUACUGCGUCUCUUUUUCUAGCUGCAAAGUCUGAGGAAACACCACGCCCAUUGAAUAACGUAUUGAGGGUGUCCAGUGAAAUCCUUCACAAACAAGAUUUUACUUUGUUGUCCUAUCGGCUUCCUGUUGACUGGUUUGAACAGCAUCGUGAGCGAGUAAUUCAGGCUGAGCAGUUGAUAUUGACCACUCUUAACUUUGAGCUCAAUGUACAGCAUCCAUUUGCUCCUCUGACAUCUGUUCUUAACAAGUUAGGUCUAUCACACACUGUGUUGGUGAAUCUGGCGUUAAACUUAGUCAGUGAAGGGGUCUUCGCAAGAUUAGCAUGCUGGCCUGUUUGAUAAUCUUAGCUGGCGGAUUCAUAUGCUCCUCAUGGAAUCUUUUGUUUUUACAUCUGAAGUUGUACUGCUGAUGUCUAAUGGAUUGCUUUACCCUGAAAAUGCCCCAUCCAAUUUUUUUUGGGUUGCCCAAGACUGGCACAAGACACCCAACCCAGAUUUACUUUCUAGGCCAAGCUUUUAUGCUGGUGACCUUUUGCCAUAUGGCUCAUCGUUGCUCUUUUUUUUUUUAAUGUGGGUGAAAAGAAGGUCAUGAACUCUGAACCAUGCUGCGAAUGGGCUGAGAGAGUGAUCUAACAAUUAAAAACCAACAGAAGGGAAUAAGAUUUUCUGAAUUUUGAAAGCGUAGUGGGUCAUCUAUUUUUUUCCCCCUUGAAUUACAUAGGGCAAGUAAGUGCUUGAGCUAAUAGCAGGAUUAAACCCAUGAGCUUCCAUCACCAUGGAUGGGUUACAUCUCGCUGGCCACAAGGCUAUUGGCAGGUCCUCUGUUUUCAUGAAUUAAUAAGCAAACAAAAUUUGAAGACAAACUGACUCUUUAGUCCGGAAACAAUAUCUUAGUAAUGGGGGUGUCUCAACUGGGUCCAAUUUACUUGAUUCAAAAGAAAAUUGUUCCUGGGCAGGGUUCUACAGAUUAAAUCUUUAUUUUUGGGGAAUAUUUUACAAUGUGAGUGAUAUAGUUGUUUUUUAAAGAUGGAUCUUGGGUUUUUAUUCUAGGUGUUAGCAUCUGAGGGCUUCAAGUUGGUUAUAUUAUUAACCUUUCUUUUUUUUUUUUUCAAUUGUUCAAUGUGUUGUUAAUGCACCUUUGGCAAACGUGUAUGAAGUGGAUUCGCUUUCUUCUGUUUAUUUGCAAUGUCUAUCAUGCCCUUGUAAUCAUCUCAAGUCUUGACAGUUUUUGAAAGGAUACUAGGGUGACUUUUCAUCCUGAAAACCAUUUUUUCCACUUCAUUUUGUAUUCCACCAUUUUUCAUUUGGGGUGUCAAGUCCUUUGCGUCAAGUUAUUGAAUUUGUAUUUUGUGCUUUUCAAAUUUGAACUUAUUGUAAUAGCAGAACAAAGAAAUUUUUCAUGACUGGUAUGGAAUAUAUACAUAUACAUGAAUAUAUGGACAUGUAUAUUUUUGUACUUUUCGAACCAAAAUAAAGUUUUUAUGUGUUUGAUUAUCACUAGCACAUGGGCCGGUGUGUAUUUGACACAUAAACAGGAGAUUUUGAAAACCUUGGUGUAUGGCAAUGUUGCAUUCAUGCAACAGUAAAGGGCCUGUUAAUUUGCUGUAAAUUUGUGAUACCUAUUUGAAAUUUUCUUUUCAUAUUUGUUUUCUCAUUUCUUUUGACAUUGUUUUCGUCUUCAACAGCAUCCUGAUGAUCUAUCAAUAUCUCCAAUGAGUAAAGGGAUUUUUAAACCUGGGUCGAUCAAAUGAUCAAUUAUAUAUGAAAGCUUUGGCUCCUGUGAGUAAACCAUGCAAAUGUGUACAUGUACCGGAGCCUGUAUCUUAUGCUUUCCAGAGGAAGAUAGUUGCCUUUUGCUGUUCUUUUAGAGUGCCCUCUUGUCCCUCAAAGAAGAGAGAAAAAAUAAAAGGGUGGGGGGAUUUUUGGUUUUUUUUUUUUUUUUUUGGGGGGGGGGGGGAGCCUAAGAAGUAGCUUCUUAUAAGCUACAAAAGUACUCACAGGAGAAUUGUUGGGGAGUUUGUCUUCACCAAAAGGAGGGCGGGGAUUGGGGAAACCUAAGAUCUGUGCCAGUUUUGUGCAAGCAAACUUAUGUUUGCAUGACGACUCCAUUGUCCACUUAACUAUCAACGAAGCUGCUGGCUAUUUAGAAGCAAACUGUUUCUGUCCAGCACUCAUCAACAAACUACUAUUGUAUAUUGAUUGUCAUUUUGGGCAAGGAUAAUUCAAAACUUAAGAUUUUUUAAUGCUAGAUAUCAUGUAAUGAUGCUCAAAGUUUCAGCAUUUAUCCACUAUCUGGAUAUCAUCACUCUGUGAUUUUGGAAUUAGAUGCAUCUGUUAUGAGAAUUCCAAUGUGCAUGUUAGCAAGCCUGUCCAGGUCAAAAGCCCCCACAGCACAGUUGGCCCAGGAAGUCUGAUAAAUUCUGUAGAUGAGUGUAACAUAAUAGUUUUGUACUAUCAGCAAUCCUGCAGAGGUUCUUGGAUUAUUAUUCUUCCUGAGUUGCUGCCUUUCUAGUUGGCUUCGUAGCUCCCUGUGGCUUCAGUUUAAACCGCAUCAUAUUGCUGCUGGAGCAGCACAUCUUGCUGCCAAGUUUUUGAACAUGGAUCUUUCUGCUUAUCGGAACAUAUGGCAGGAGUUCGAGACAACGCCAUCCAUUCUUCAAGAUGUGACACAGCAAUUAAUGGAGCUCUUCUAAGCGUGUAUAGAAUACAAGACAUCUUAGUGGGGGCGUAAAAGUCGAACUUAUUGAUUGGGGGCGUGUCAUUUUAGUGGUGACAAGGGAAGUUUGGAGGUUUUUAAUAAUGAGUGAUCAAUAUGUCUCGACUCGGUAGUGCGUUUAGCUUAUCUGUGAAUUGUGUAGAUCUCGCAAGUUCCAGUGAUUGCUUCAUUAGAUGAUGAAUGUUGGCCCAGGCGUGGACCAUUCUUUGCCUAAUAGGAAUAUACGUAAAUACUGAAUGUUCGGCAGUGUUGUCUUUUUAUAUUACAGUAAAUUAUAUUCUCUUUUUGUGAGGCUUCCUGCU